ACACACCGGGUUCUGCCACCGAAGCGGUGGAGCGACUGGCAGCGCCCGCUUCGGCCUGCCCCACUGGCCGGCAUCCCAGGGUUAACAAACAAUUGUGUUUAUUGACAAGUUCAUACAUCAGUACAAACGGGCACGUUAAAAACAGCGCCCCCGCCCCAUGCAGCCGAGGAUGAGGCAGGAAGCGCCGCGACCUGCACAAAGUGUUCCACAUAAGCCAGGGUGGUGAAGCUGAGGCAGGAUGUGAGGAAACCAGGCACACAGCAGCCAGCCAGAUACUCUAGCAACCAACACUCAACAGCGUGCUGUGCAGCAGGGCCUGUGUCUGCUCGGCUCCCACAGCCCCAGGGCUGCUGCCUGGGCUGGACAGCACUGCCCCAGCCACAGCUUCCAGCUCCUGUCGCACUGAAGAGAAGGUGUCUCUGAGGAGCUGGGCAAUCCGACUUUGCUCUGCUGAGGGCAUCUUGCAGCCAGCCACCUGAAAUAGCACCCCCAGAAGUGAGGUGGAGGAGCCUGUCAACAGACAUAUAAAAGGGAGGGGCCCCACCUGGGUCCAGCCUGCCUCAGAAGGGACUAGCUGGGAACUCU
ensembl:lncRNA novel transcript